rnacentral:rRNA from 1 species
CAAAGGUAGCAUAAUCAUUAGUUUUUUAAUUGAAGGCUUGUAUGAAAGGUUUAACGGAAAUAAAGCUUUUUUUUAUUAUAUUGUUGAAUUUGAAUUUUAAGUUAAAAUGCUUAAUUUUUUUAAAGGGACGAGAAGACCCUAUAGAAUUUUAUAAAGUAAAUGAAAUUUAUUAUUUGGUUGGGGUGACAAUAAAAAAACUUUUGUGUUAUUUUUCAUUUUAAAUGAGUGUAGGAUCCUAAUUUUUAGAAAAAAAAAUAAAUUACCUUAGGGAUAACAGCAUAAUUUUUUUUAAAAGUUCACAUUUAUAAAAAAGAUUAUGACCUCGAUGUUGAAUUAAGAUAACUUUUUGGUGUAGGGGUUAAAAAGUUUAGUCUGUUCGACUUUAAUUUUUACAUGAUUUGAGUUCAGACCGGCGUGAGCCAGGUCG